AGCCAAUGAUUUCUUGCUGGUCUUGCGCCGUUUCGUUUCUAUCUACCGCAAGCCAGCUGAGAUGUUCUCCGACAACGGAACUAAUCUGACCGGGGCGGAGCGACUACUACGUGAGGAGCUGGAGAGACUAAAGGAGAGUUCGGCGUUGGAGACGGAGCUCAAGGCUCUCGGGAUUCGAUGGUGGUUCCAGCCAGCCCAGACACCCCACUUUGGUGGAGCUCACGAAUCGCUGGUGCGAUCGGUCAAGAGAGCGCUCUAUCCCGUGCUGGACAAGGAGAUGAACGGGCAGCGUAAUCCGAGUGAGGAGAUUCUUCGGACGCUCCUGUUUGAAGUGUCGGGACUGCUCAAUUCCCGCCCACUGACUUAUGUCAGCUCAGAUGCUGACGAUAUUCGGCCCUUGACGCCGAACGAUUUUUUGAAUCGCGCCCCAAUUGCGGAUCUACCGGCGGGAGAGUUCUCUCGAGCCUUGCCACGGGACCACUACCGGUACGUUCAACGGAUGGCUGACCGCUUCUGGGAGCUGUGGCAUGGAGCAUUCCUACAGUCCAUGACCUCGCGACGCAAGUGGACAAGACCAGCCCGAAACCUAGCGGUUGGCGACUUCGUUCUCGACGACUGGAAGGAUGCACCACGCGGGCGCUGGCGGACCGGAAAAAUUGUGAGGACGUAUCCGGGAAAGGAUGAACUAGUUCGAGCGGUGGACGUCGAGUUUCCGACAGGCAUAUUGCGCCGGGGAGCUAAUCAGCUUGCCUUAUUAGAACCAAGCUCACUCGCUCCGGAAGCCGGAUCCAGUUCGGGGGAGGAUGGUUCGGCGACUGCUGUUUAGCUCUGUUAAUUUUGUAAUUCCGUAGUGGCGCCACCAGCGGUUGCUGCUUAGCCACUCUAUUGUCUCCCAUCCUCUUUUCAAAGAUGUCAUUUUCUGUGUCUUCUCCUGAUUUCCCAGUGCUAUACUGACAUCUCGAUUAAUUGACACAGCUCUGACUAGAAUUGUAUAGCCCUGACUAGAAUUGUAUAAAAGAAAACGUGACUAGAAGUUGACUAGCACUGAGGUCUGACUAGAGUUGAGGUCUUGACAGACGGAACCUUAAGCAAGUUGCUGUGAUAACGGUUCUUGCCC
rnacentral:misc_RNA from 1 species